rnacentral:snRNA from 1 species
GGUUAUGUGGGUGAUUUGCUUGUGGUAUUUGACACCCCCGUUAACUGCUAAGGCUCGUUUGGGUUAUCUGGCAAGUGAAUUUUAGCGUCCCCUUCUCCUCUCAUACUUGGUGGGAACAGACCACCUUCCCUCUGCCAAGGCUGGCCAAGCAGCUGUGUUCCCACGCUAGAACCUUAAACAAGCUUUAAAGGCCACCAUUGCAUAGCCAAGCUUCAUCACCCCAGCCCAUCCCAGCAGAGAUGGCUCAGAAGCUAAGAGCUGCUGUCGCU